UACGAAGGGGGCUAGCGUUGUUCGGAAUUACUGGGCGUAAAGGGCGCGUAGGCGGUACUUCAAGUCAGGCGUGAAAGCCCCGGGCUCAACCUGGGAACCGCGCUUGAGACUGGAGAACUAGAGUUCGGGAGAGGAUGGUGGAAUUCCCAGUGUAGAGGUGAAAUUCGUAGAUAUUGGGAAGAACACCGAUGGCGAAGGCAGCCAUCUGGACCGACACUGACGCUGAGGCGCGAAAGCGUGGGGAGCAAACAGGAUUGAG
rnacentral:rRNA from 1 species